CUGCCAUGUUCAUUACUCGGAAGAGGACCAUGACCCUGUUUCCAAAUCAAUCCGGUCUCAUACCACCCUUCAUCACUUCGGCUAAGCUGUUCCUUGAACUCAUCAUACACCGACUGCUGGUCACCUUGCGCUCGAUCUUCUAAACCCAGAACAUCCAAAUUACACAACUGUUCGUAGUCUCCAAAUGAUGUUCUGGUAAGGUACAGUAAGUAUAAACCACUAACCAAAGGUCCAAGACGCAUGUAGAGGUUCUAUUACCUAUCCCAAAAUUAAAAUACUAAACUUUAAAGUUAAUAUUAUUACUCCAUUCAGGUUUGCUGGGUUUUCUUUCAUUUCGCAGAUCUACAAGAAGUCGUUUCAUGAAAACAUGGAAUCAUGUUCAGGAAUUAAUUUGGUGCAGUUCAUGUGAUUCGCUGUUUACGUUGGCGUGAAUUUGAGGAUCGAUCGAUAAGCGUCUUAGCACACCAUUCAGUUGGAUGUUUUCGUGAAACCGAUCCUGCAGACUGUAGAGCUCCAUUAUCCCAUGUGACCUAUCGCUAACAGAAGUGUGGGCUGAAGUAUACUUCCAUUCUAAGUACUUCUGGAGUUUACCAUCUUUUGCCAACGAUGUUGUUGCGCGGAAUGGAACCACUGUUCAUUAUUUGGAUUAAAAAACUGGGUUCAAUGUGGUUCACAAAAGUCGCCAAACGAGUUGGAAUGUCAGAAAUGUUUACUGUUGGUGGAUGUCGUAACGAUCUUAGUAAAUCCUGAGGACCCUCGCUCUAACAACAAAGAUAAUUGUAUAAAAUAAUGUUAUGUGGACAGGCACCGGAUGCCCAAUCACCUAAAAAACAGCAUCAGCAAAUCGUCAUUUUCAUAAUUUCACUAACUAAUUUCUCCAAAAUACUACAAAGAGUGAUUAAGGAAUACAUGCUUGAUCUCAUCGAGAUAUGGAGACCACGCAAUAAUAAGGCAUGCAUACAAACAUUUGUCAUUUUCUCAGUGUAUGUAGUUUGUUUAAUUAUUAUUAAAGAAAGAAAAAUACUUUAAAAUAAAGUAGGUUAAGUGGGUUAUUGAAUUGCACACUGAUUAACAUCGAGUUUAUAUUCACGAAAAGUUCCCCAGAUCUUUGUGAAUAAUUAUAUAUAAUGUUCUGGUACGGUGAGUUUUUUUCCUUAGGAACCCCACUGAUUGGUGUUUGGUUAGACGAGAGCCUUGUUUAAACCCCACUGAACCACGCAGUUUCUCCAGUUUAUACGUUUACCUAUAACCCACUCACCUCGGCGGCUCGUAACCACUUUUUGUAUGUUAUCAUUUUAAAAAUAUAUACGAUAUUAUUGUUCUUAUUUUUUGUCAAGAUCUGAAUUGGCGACUAAUUAAUCCGUAUUUUACGCCGGCUUCCGUGGGAAGGAGGCUGAUUAGUGCUCUUUCCGAUUCGUUAAAUUUACCAUAUUUUUGGAUGACAUUUGAGUAAUAUCGACACAGGACUAGUGUAUAAAUAAAAAAAAUACGAAGUUUUUCCUUGUGAAUUACUCGCGACCUGCUACCUGAGGUGGCAUCAAUAUAUUGUACUAUUAUAUUAGUAGGACACAUUGAAAAUGAACCCCAUUUUACACGUGAAGUAAGAGCUCCACCAUUAAAUUUGCAUUGAGAAGAAAUUAUCCAAAAUUCUUAAAAUUGUAAGGUAAAUGUGCUC